UCGCCUGUUUACCAAAACUUAUUUUAAAGAAAAAAAAUUUUAGAUAAAUUCUGCUCAAUGAGUAAGUUAAAUAGCUGCAGUAAAUUAACUGUACUAAGGUAGCAUAAUAAGUUGCUUUAUAAUUAAAAGCUUGAAUGAAAGAAAUAAUGUGAAAGAAGCUUUUUAAACUAAAAUAGUGAAAAUUAAUAUUUAAGUGAAAAAUCUUAAAUAGAAUCAAAAGACAAGAAGACCCUUUAGAACUUUACAAAUUGAUUUAAUAUCAUUUAGUUAAUUUGUUAAAUUGGGGAGAUUUUUAAAUAAAUAAAUCUUUAGAUAUAAAAAAAUGAUUUAAAUCAGAUUAAAUUAUCCAAAUGUGAAAUAAAACAAGUUACCUAAGGGAUAACAGCGCAAAAUUUUUGAGAAGUUCUCAUUUACAAAAUAAAUUGCGACCUCGAUGUUGGAUUAAGAACAACUUAUAAAGAAAAAUUAUAAGAGUGUUGUCGUCACA
rnacentral:rRNA from 1 species